rnacentral:rRNA from 2 species
GCAGUCGAGCGAACUGAUUAGAAGCUUGCUUCUAUGACGUUAGCGGCGGACGGGUGAGUAACACGUGGGCAACCUGCCUGUAAGACUGGGAUAACUUCGGGAAACCGAAGCUAAUACCGGAUAGGAUCUUCUCCUUCAUGGGAGAUGAUUGAAAGAUGGUUUCGGCUAUCACUUACAGAUGGGCCCGCGGUGCAUUAGCUAGUUGGUGAGGUAACGGCUCACCAAGGCAACGAUGCAUAGCCGACCUGAGAGGGUGAUCGGCCACACUGGGACUGAGACACGGCCCAGACUCCUACGGGAGGCAGCAGUAGGGAAUCUUCCGCAAUGGACGAAAGUCUGACGGAGCAACGCCGCGUGAGUGAUGAAGGCUUUCGGGUCGUAAAACUCUGUUGUUAGGGAAGAACAAGUACGAGAGUAACUGCUUGUACCUUGACGGUACCUAACCAGAAAGCCACGGCUAACUACGUGCCAGCAGCCGCGGUAAUACGUAGGUGGCAAGCGUUAUCCGGAAUUAUUGGGCGUAAAGCGCGCGCAGGCGGUUUCUUAAGUCUGAUGUGAAAGCCCACGGCUCAACCGUGGAGGGUCAUUGGAAACUGGGGAACUUGAGUGCAGAAGAGAAAAGCGGAAUUCC